GCUUCCUGAGGGAACCAUGCAGAUCCUCCCAGAGCUCUUCCAGUGUCUGUGGGUGUUAGAAGAGCACCGGGGCAGCGGAGGACAGGAGAGCUUUAGAUCCAAAUAACCGCUGGACAUGAGUGAUACUUUGGGGAAAACCUGUACAGAAUGCAUUAAUGCCCCUUGUGGAGAAGGUGUAAAAUUUUCGCCUUAAUUUGCACGGGGUUUAAAUGGCCUCGUCUGUUGUUUUCCCCUUGCAGACACCCCUUAGGCCCCUCAGGCUGAGGCAGGCAGUGGUUCUUCCCAGGCAACAGCAACAGCAGUCUUUCAGCAGGAGGUGGGUGAUGUUCAUGGCAGCCUGUCACAGGCAGGUUUGAGCUGAGGCCUCCUGAGGUGGAAACCUUUGAAAAAGGCUGUGAGAGCUAAUAAAGUGGAGCUGUUUGAUCUCUAAUGUGAUGAGUGGCUGCUGUGGGCUGUUGUCCCUGUGGAGAAUCUGCAUGAGAAGUCAGUCACACCACUGACUGCUGGUUAAGUAAUUCAUGGGUUCCUCCUACAAAUCUGAUCACAAAGUUGUAUCCUGUUCUUGUACAAAAAUUAUCUCCUAGGAGGAAGUGUAGUAAAAUUGAAGUGUCUUGGAAGUAAAUCUACGGGAUGUGUUUCUAAUACACCUUGAACUUACGGGUAAAUAAUUCUGAUCCUCUGUUUAUUAAUAACGGUUGAGAUAGGAGAUGUAGCAUACUUUAUAGCAAAAGUUUAUCACAGAAGUUUUUCAGAAUACAAAAACCAUUAAAUGUUCCUUAAAAUGUUAGGGCAAAAGUAUUUUUUAAUCAGAUUUAGUGGCUUGAGUUACAGCUGUAGGUGAUGGGAGUUGGUCUCUUGACAUCUGACCUUAUGGGCCCUUGAUGUGUGGCUUAACAUGGUGGUCACUGGAGGGGAUCAGGUGCAGGUUGUUUUGUGGCAGUGAGCAGGCUGGUUCAGUUAUGGAAUUGCAGAGGUCCAUCUUAAUCAACAGCUUGUGUGGCAAAAGUGAUGAUUUUAGGAAAGUGCUGCAGUGUUUAAGAUGGAAUCGCAGCCACACUGGGCUCUGAGGCUCCAGAAGGUGCAGAAGAGAUGAGACUGCAGGCUGCCAGCUCUGAGCAGAAGCCCUCCUCGUGCUGAGCACAGUUAGCGUGUGCCAUGAAAACAUCCAAGCUGUGUGUUUAAACUCCCUGCUGUGAGCGUCUGUUCAUGCACAGAGCUGGCAGCCUGGUGGGGAAAGGGGCCUUGGAGCCACAGUCGUGAAGGUCAUUUGGGAGGGGACACUGGAAUGAGUCCUGAUGCAGUUUUCUGAUGUGGCUGGUCAGUUUAUGCCACAUAGGGAAAAGAAACUGCUGUGCAGAUUUUAUUCAGUUGCUGUGCCUGAGAAAGGCUGGUAAAGGACUCGCUGAGAUGGCAGUGCUAUGUCACUGUCAGCUGUCAUGGUGUAAGCAAAAGGGGUUUAUCACUUCUUUUAAGAACACCACAGCAAACCACUGUGGUUUUGGCACAGGUCUUGGCUGCCCGGAAAACGGGAGUGAUCUAAUGCCUUCUGUGUCUGGAGGCUUGGCUAGCUUAGAGAGUGGUACGAUGGUAAUUAAUACUCGUGCACCAGAGAGAAUGGGUGGGAAAGAGGAGGAGGAUGAAGGCUGGGUGCUUGCCGAGCACUGUGUAUCUGAGCUUGCCACCUACUCAGGGCAUGGCAGAACUGCUGCAUAAUACCACAGGGAAUCACUUGAGGAACAAGAUGGAAGAGGAGGGAAGGGUUUUGCAUGAGGAUGAUUAUGCGUGUCCCUGAGGUGAUUUUUGUGUGGAACAAGGCAAACCCACAGCCAGAGGUGCUGUGGGAGCCUGUGCCAGACUGCUGUGAAUUGUAGAUAACUUGGCUGCUGCUUGUGGACUUGAACAGCAAACUGGAGUUCCUGGGUGCCCCCAGCUUCAGCACUACAGGAGUAGCCUGAACUCUGAAUGUCUUUAGAAGUUACAGGUGCUGCACAUUCCCAUAGUUAGGACAGAGUGAGGAGACCAGUAAUUGCUGUCACUGGAAAGUUCCAAAUUCCAUUCAAGUUUUUAUUCAUUUGAUCUCAGAGAGAAUAGUUUAAUGUACAGACAGAAGUUACAUGUCUUCUACAUGUAACAGCAUCUUUCUCAAGCCUGCAUAGUUCUUUAAACCCAGGAUAACUGACCUGAGCAGCUCCCACCCCUGUCCAUGUGCUUGCUUUGUGCUGGAUGCAGCAGUCCUGUGGCUACCUCAAGACUUGCAGUAUUGGCCAUAUAGGAGUUUGUGUGGAACUGCUUUGCAGGGCAACAUAAUUGGAUUUACUGAGCUAUAUUUUGUCAUCUUGCCCUGGUUUAGCCUUCCCCCUUCUACUGUAAUCCAAAGUUACCCAGAUCUAAAAAAAAAAGAAAAAAAGAAAAAAAAAAGUCCCUUUGAAGGAAUCAGAACCAGCAGAGUGCUGAGCCUGCCUUUACUGCAGGCAGGAAAUCCCACCUUUGGUGUGUACUCAGCACCUAAGCAAAGGAGAAGAGGGAAGUGUUAUUUGUGCAGGGUAUGUGACCCUUUUUUGGGAUCUGAAGACCGUUUUAGGAUUUUGCCUCAUGUUCAUGCCUGGAGCAAGAAAAUGGGCCUUUUGUUGUAACUUUAACAAGAGUGCACACAGGCUUUUCACAGCAUUGCAAAUAAAUGUGCUGGAAUGUAUAGCCCAAAGUGAAGAUGAAUUCAGGGCCCUGAAAGCAGUAGCAGCUCCAGUUUCUUUCAGUUGAUUCUACCAAGGAUUGGGGUCACAAAAGAGAAGGAUAAUUUACAGCUUAGCAAAUGGGAAAAACUCUUUCUAGCUGACUUGCUGGAACUCAACCCUGCAGCAAACCACCAAAGUCAGCAUUAUGUCGUGAGCCAUUAAGUGAGGUGACACUUCUUGCAGAAGAGGGCUGCUGUUUUGGGCAGGUUUAUAGAUGCAGCAGUUCUUUGCACAUGGAAGUUACAGGCUGGCUUGUUAGUUGCUUAACAUAGACUUGGACAUCAGUCAAUCAGUAUUUUUUUCCUGCUUCCUCUGUAAUCAAAUACUCUUUUCCAAGGUGAUGCUGAUUGCAGCAAGGUAAACUGGACAUCUUGCGUGUUAAGCAAAUGGUUCCUUCUGCAUGGAUCCCUUCGGUGCUGUGCCAGCAGGGGAUGGGGCAGUCAAGCAGUGUUGGGGAGGGCCUGAAAUGAAGGAGCUUUCUGCUGCAGAUUUCACUGCGUGCAUUCAGCUGCAGAUACAUAGUGAAUCUGAGAGGCACUGCAGGGUGCCGAGGAAAAGAUGGACUUGGUAUUUCUUGGUUUGCAGGGGGUUAGGGGAGGACGGGGGCCACGGCUUCCCUGUUCUUCCAAGCAAGAUACUCUGUAACUGCCUGGCAAAGUUAGCUUAGCUACAGCAGGAUAGGAAUAAAACUGAGUAGGAGAUGCCAGGCAUUUUCUCAACGAGGAGAGAAGGAUGUGCCAACCUCCUUUGCCAGCCUAGACCCAGUGCUGUGUGGCUUCUCCCAUGUCCCCCUCCCAUACUGCCCCUCUCCCAUUCCUGCCAGGCCACAGAAUGCCCGCCAGCUCCUGGAGCGGGCCCAGCUCGCUUUGAGCUGUCACUGACCAGCAGUUGCCAGGCUGCUGCCGAAGAGCUGACAGCCUUCUCAGCACCUCAGAGAUGAUAAUCCCAAGGGAGCUUUUGGAAUGACCUCUUAGUGAGCCAGCUAACAUCAGGCACGAGCACAGACAGGCAUUAUGCUAAUACAGUAGAGUACAGCUGGGUUCUGUAACUCCAGGCUGGACAUAUGUGUAUAUUCCAGUAAAUCUUACCAUGAGUUGCAACCUCAAGCAAAAAACACCAGCCACACAAUUGUCAUGGUAUCCCCAACUCCUGCCCUCAGUGACUCCGGACAAGGAAAUUGCUUGGAAUUGCUUUGGACCUCAGAGGACAAACUGGGACCACAGGAAUUUAAGAAACACAAUGAAAUCAGAGGGGUGGAGAGAACUUUGAAAGAACCUUACUUGUUCUUUAUGUGUAUAAUUUACCUUUUAAGAAAAGAAACACCCAGUUUUUCUAAUUGGCUAAAUACUAGGAAUUGUCCAGAUUUCUUUCUGGAGUGAAACUUGCCUUCCUGGCUGAUCACAGCUAUUACAGCCUUCUCUGGGCUUUUCUGGUACUGCUUCCAAGGCAAAUCCCCAGAGGCACUUGUGUGAAAUCCAGUAAUGCUCUAUUCACUUUCACCUCUGUGCAGGAAUGCAUUCUGCUUGUUCCAGCAUAAAGUGCUUUAUGUUUGUGUCUCCAAGUCGUCUCUGCUAACGCUGCAGCCUUCGGCAGCUGCCUCUCCUUUCGGCUGAGCCCGUUACCUGACUCAGGCACAAUGGACUCUGUGGUUUGGCAUCCCAGGCUUCAGGACCCCCUCGCAGGCUGUUUGUAACCAACCCCCCAACCAGUCAUUAGGCCAUAAUUCCUGUUUACAGAGAUAAGUCUUUAUUGGAGCUAUUGGAAGCAAAUGGGACAUGGUUCCAGUUUUAUAUACAGAGACGUCUGUAGUGUUGGUUACAACCAGUGGCAAUGACCCGAGAUUACAGUGCAGACCGUGUUGUGACAGUCAGUAACAGUGGCUGGCGUACAAACCACAGCACAGAAGCCAAAUGAAGCCAAGUGUACGGGGUACAGCAGCACGGAGGGAGCAACUGAAGGUACAGAGAGCGUUCCCUUUACAUCUGUACGCUUUUUUUGGCUAGUGAGUACAUACAGCUCAAUUUAAAAUUCACUGUGCAGUUAUUUUUCUUCCCACUCAACUGCUACCAAAUUAAGAAAAUCUGAGUGUUCAAAUUACAUUUUUAGUGCUAUAAAUAGCCAUGGUUGUUGCCAGAUUACUUUAUUUGAAAUUGCUUUAUUUAUAGUUGGGAAUAGUUCAGUCAUCAUUGUUCUCUAGUGAUUACAAAUUGGGAGAAAACGGAAGUAUUUUGAAAGCAGUCUGUAAUUAGACCACAAGGAUCUCUUGUACUUCAUUUGGAAGUUUAAUUCUGGGUAACUUCUUUGAGAGAGAUUUAUUGGGAAGAAAGAUGGAAUCGUCCACCAUAUUACUCAUUUGUGGACUUCGUUCAUAGUAUUUAAGGUUUCGAUAGUUUAUAGGUCAUACUUUUUAUUCAAUGCCAUAUCCAAUCUUAGUUCAAAAAUAAACACUCCAUCCUCUGUGGAUAAAUAAAUCCAUCUCUUGGCUGCAGGUCAGACCUCUAUUGGUGAAAGAGAUUUAGAAAAAUAGACCUUUUCUUUAACGUUUAAUACUCUGACUCACAAAGGAAAAGUGAAAUUCAUUCAAGUCUAGAAACAAAUACAGUACAAGUGAUUUAUAGAAUUGCAUUACUUCCCUCUACAAACUUGCUGAGCAUGAAACACUGCCCCAAAGCACUGCCUCUGUUUUUGCCUUGUCUUGGAGAAGUAAUUAUCAUCAGAAAAGUCACAUCAGACUGCACUGCCAGAUUUCCUGUCAGAAGGGCUCUGCCUCCUGAGGAGUCUUUGCUUAGGAAUUCUUUAGAUGCAUGGAUGGUGGUGGUUUAGGGUUGCACAAAGGAUAUUUUAGCCCAAAUUAGCAGCAGUUUUAAUUGGUUUGGUUGAUGGUGAUUUUUGGUGGGUGGAAAUUCAGCCAUUAAACAAAAGCCUGUGAGUUGGCCUUGGAAAGCACCAGCCUUUCCUCAAAAUCUCCACUUGUGACACUGCUUCCCACUGAUGUCCUUCUCAGCAAGGGGCUGAUACAUUUGGCAGUAGAGGUUUCAUGCUCAACUUUGUCACUAAGAACUGGACAGGACUUUAAAAGCAUACAGCCCACUGGGACUUGCUCUGCUGCUGUACUUCAGUGCUGUGGAGAGCCCCCACCCCCAGCAGUGUUGUCUCUGAGAAGUGCAAGUGUCCCAGCCUGGCUCUGGGGCAGCUGGAGCACGGUGACAUUCCGGAGUGGAAGCAGUAGUUAAGCACCAGUUACUGGCCCCUGCAGAGGCUCAAGAGAACAGAAUUGCUUCGUAGAGAGCUGGUCAGCCUAAAAAGCUUAGUCAGUUUGAUCAAUAAAUAUUGACUUAGGGUUAGGAUGAGAAAUAAGACACUGCACCUUGGAACUGGAAGACAGAGUCAACUUCCUCCUUUUUCUGUCCAAAAGGAGACUGGCUCCAAAACGUUUGUCCUUAAGGACCUCUGUGAUGCCUGACAGAUAACUCAUUAUGUGUGUAUGAAUGUACCUGUCCCCUUUUGCAGGGACGGGUAAAUGUGUGACUGGACAAAGCUUGGAGGCUUUUUUCUGUGAUUUUUUAUUUUUUCAACCAUCUGCUCUGUGUCAUGUUGUCCCUGAAGGCAUGGUUACCCACUCCUAAAUUAUGCAGCAUUGCCCAGAGAAUGGCUCUGUAGUUGAAUAUGCUCUCUGCAGUACAGCCUCCUUUUUCUUCCAGAGUAUGUGGAUUUCCACACAAUAGAUGUUACCAGAAAACUACACUCAUCUUUAUCAUGUUAUUUUGAGCAGGGAAACAGUGAUGUGAGUUUAAAAACACAGGAAAGAAUCUGUACUGCAAAUCAGAAUUUUUGUAAUUAAAUUCAUAGUAUCACUAACUUUUCAAAAGCUGUACUGCUCUGAGUGCUGUUCUCUAGCCCACCGUUAUUCUCCUUUGAGCAGAAUGACUUUCCAUCUGCUUAGAAACAGUUCUUUGUGAAAAGAAUGACAGAAGAAUACUGUCUCUCUUGCCCUGGCUUUGUUACUUUUCAGGACACCCUUACAAGACUCACAUUCUGUUGGGAGUGCAGCAAUACACACAUUUCAGUAUGCAUAGAUCAUUAAGUUGUAGCAGUGCCAGUAAUAAAGCAAAACUUGCCAAGAUGUCCUGUUCCUCUUAAUUAAGCUUGAUUUAUGUGUGCCUUUUGACUUAAGAUGCAGUUAGUGUCCACUGCUGAGAUGAUGCAGUACCCUGAGUAACUUUGUAUUGAUUAUGCUUCUGCAAGCUUGUGCUUUUGCAAGAACACAGAAAUGAAACUCCAGGAAAAUAAAGAAGUACAUCAGGUUGUUUCCAUGGAACACUGUUAAUCUAUUAAUAGCAGCUUCAAAGUAUGAAGUUAAAACUUACCUUCUGCUCUACUCCCAUCGAAACAGAUGAGUGCUAUGAUUAACUCCCCUUUAGCUUAAAAAAUAGAAGUGGAUAGAAUAUCAAAAUACACUUUGCUGGUAAGAUGAACCUACUUUGUCAUAAGGAGUUACACCAAUAUUGGUGACCUAAACUGGUCACUGUGGGAGCAGUAUCUGCUUUUCCUUGUUGCCAUGCUCCUCUGUAAAGGCAGCUUGUCUAGAAUACUGUGGGCAUUGCAGAAAUAACUAACUACUAUUCCUUCUGAGGAAAUUACUACUAUUCCUUUUCAUCCCAAAAUUCAGUUGUGUGCUCUGUACACUGCCUGGAACUAUCUCCCUGUUCUGGGUAGGACUGCAUCAGGAAACAAAUUUUGUCUACUGGAUAUCUUGUAUUCCUCCUCUGGAAAACCAGCAAAACUGGACUUGUUUACUGAGCAGAAAAAAUAAAUUAGUCUCCUUUAGCAGCGUCAUUAGCAGCCUUUAGCCUGCUGUAUGGAUAGAUUAAACCUCUUGCCUAAUUUCACUAGUUGUUGAAAAAGGAAUCCCAGCUCUCCCUGCUCAUAGUACACAAGGUUGCUGGCUUUCCCCAGCACACAUAAACCUCCUGGUUUUACCACAGUCUGUCUUAAUGGACUUGGAAAAGGCAGUGCAACUUUCCCUCCAACUUCUAUGAUACUCUAACCUCUAAAACUGGAGAAGGACAUUUUCUUCCAUUGUUACCUUUUCUCUCUCUUGCCAGAACCAGGUGCAUUCAGAAAUCCUGUGUUCAAGCUGAUGCUGCACUACACCUCACGAACUGCAAAGCAGCAUAAGGCAGCUGGAGCUUCUAGGUCCUGGUUAGAGCAUUUUGUGUAUGAGUGAAAAGUCUUCUUGGAUAAUUAAGACUGUGUCUAAAAUCACAGUAUGCUGAUCUAUAAGGAAACUCAGGUGAAGUCACAGGCAGUGCAGAACUGUGAGAGGCUCAGCCACUGUGCAGGGGUUUGCAAAGGCAUGGAUGAAGAUGAGAAUAAAGAUAAACGAGAGAAGAUUUAAAAGGAUUUGGGAUGGAAGAUCACUAGACUCUGGCUAAGAAUUAGUUCAAUUUCUCCUUAUAAAUAGUGAUGUCAUGUCCAUCAUGCCACUCACAAGAGCACCAAAAACACUUCCAGCUCUUCAUUUGCUGAAGAAACUUCCUCAGCCUUUGCAUUCUGCAGCAGACAUCACACCCUGUCCUCCCAGCAGCAUGGAGCAACCAACCUCUGAACAGCACAACAGGACCAGCACCUUGGGAGGCACCACACUGGCCAGGAGCCCAGGAAGAUCCUUGGACAGGAUCAUGGGUUCCUCACAGGCCAGCUUGGCAAACUGUCCCAGGAAACUGCUUGACAACAAUUACCUGUCCAUUCAUGAGAGUCAAAUUAGCAAUUCAGUAUCUGAAUAUGGUGUGAUUAAACUCAGGAACCUAAUUCACAGUGUGUCCUACUUUCAGGCAUCAAAUUUUUUGAGCACCGUGCUCUUUUGAAAGUCAAACUGACAAGGACUCAGGAACCUUGUGUCUUUUCCAAAAGAAGCCAAUGGAGCCCCUCUUUUGUCAGGUAGCAGGACACACACAGGCUGUUCUCAGGAAGAACAGAAGCCAGAGAAACAAGAACACUUCAGAAGGCUAUCGAGGGACUGAGCCAGUGUGCCAGACAAGGGGAGGCUCUGCAGGCAGCUCCUCUGCACACCACAUUCUAGCACAUCAGGGCUUUGAAGAAAAACCCAAAGGCUCUCUUUGCCACUUGCUUUUUCUAAAGCUCCAACUCACACAGGAGUGGGCUCUGGAGGAGAAGGGAGUUUCUUCUUCUCUCUCUUAAAAAAACAACAGAAUAACUAGUCAAAACCCAGCUUUCACAUUAGAUACUGAGUGACCAUCUGAAACACCUAAAAUCAGAUGUAAAGGAUGGACAGGGUCUGAGAGCAUCUCUCUUACAAACCAGGAAAACCACUGGGAACUCCCAGACGAUCAGGAGUGCAUGGCUUCCCCUGCCUGCACCCAAACCAGCCCCUCCAACAAGAUCCCUUUGGACUGCUCCACAUUGAGCUCCAGCCAUCCAAAAGCAGUUUAUAACUCCUGUGAGUUCUUUCAGGAUGGCUACUUUGAUCUUUUCAGGAGAUAUUUCAAACUCUGUUAGAAUAUUGUCAGCUACAUCGAUCACCUAGCCCAGCUGCAACAAGAGGAGCACAAAUAAUGGAAGCAGAGCAAUAGAAGGAGAGGGGAAGUACAGUAAAUCCUCAACUCUUCAGCUCUGCCAAAAUUCAGUCUUCUAUAGACUGUGCAUGAGACUUGCUACUGUGCUGUGUGAUGAGGGCAAAGAGAACUCAUUGAGACAAGGUGCACCUGCUAAAACUGGCACCAAAACCAGGCAGCUACUGCAAAUCAGUGGUGCCCAGCACCAGCAGAAAGCAAGUCUUUGUUCUUCUGGCACAAGAGGACUCCUUCACUGCGAGUACCACAUACAGAUCAAACAUUUAUAAGCAAGAGAAAAGCUAGCCAAGGGAUUUGUAUUAAAAUAAAGAUUGCAGAUCGCAGUGUGAAAGAAACAGGGAACGUACCAGUGAGCCCCAUGCCCAGCCAAGCUCUCCCUGAGCAGUCCUUCCUCUGAAGGAGAGCUGCAAGGAGACAGCCUGAGCCAACAGUUUCUACAGCAACUGCAGAAGCACCAGUUCAAUGAUAUUCAAACCCUGCAGUAACUGCAGAGGCAUCCGUAAAUGGAUACUCCAGAAGAAAUAUUUGACAGUUUCCCCUGGGCUGCUCUGCCUCCCUGGGCAAUCCAUUGAUCCCCAUCAGCUCAGUUCAGCUGUGCAGUUGCCCAUUUCUCUGCAAAUGCUUCUGAAUCCUCUUUGCCCUUAAGAGUCUUUCAGCACACUUGCUCCUCUUCUAAACUUCAUGGAACAGCCACCUGAGAAAGUUUUGUAGGCACAGUGCUGGAAGGAUGAGUGUCCUCACCCUGCAAGGGAGACCAGUGCAUCCAUGUGUGCUGCUGCUGCAACUCCUCACGGAGGGUGGAAUGCUGUUAUGACAGUGGCACUGGGCUGCUGCACCACUAAAAGCACACUUGGAAACAUCUCAAGGGAACCAAAACAGAGGCCAGCUACCACCCAACUGCACAGAAAGAGCAGAUCCAUUUGUAACGUGGCUCUUUUAACACAUGUAGAAGCCAUAUUCAGGAACACAAAAUAUUUCACCUUUACACUUGUGCUCAGUGAAAAACUUGCACAUAAGGAGGAAAAACUACACAAGUGCCAAGAACUGCAGAAGUACAACUGGAAAAAAACACUGUCUUUGGCCUUGUAGCUUGUAUCAGUUAUUGCUUUUAACAAAAGAUACCAGCAAUGCCUUUCAGCAUAUUCAGCAGCAAAGCAAUCUCACUUGCCAAAACUGCUACAGCAAACCCAGGACACCAGAGCAGCCAAGUGCUCCUCAUGUGGCCAUUCAGGAAAGUCCCCGCUCUCCCAGCCCAGUACAAAGUCAGGCACAGACCCCAAAACACUGGAGCUGGCAUGGUGAGAGACACCAGGAACCCAAAGUGAGCUGGAGGUGAGCCCAGAGAGGUGCAGACUGACCCUGUGCAUCCUCAUCUCCCUCAGCAGCCAGAUCAUCCCAGCACCUCCCUGCCUCCUGCCCGAGUCCCCUCACCCAGCCAGGCUGGAAAUGCACAAACUGCCACCGUUCUGCUCUUCCAUAGUGAUACUGUGACACACGGGUCACUCCUGGUGUCUGUUCCUCACCCAGACCAGGCUGGAAAUGCACAAACUGCCACCGUUCUGCUCUUUCCAUGUUGAUACUUUGGCACACGGGUCACUCCUGGUGUAUGUUCCUCACCAGCCCAGGACAGAGUUGCAUGUUUUAACAGACACUUCACCCAGCAUGUCCACAGUGGCUUUUCACACACUCAGAAGCUUGUUAGCCAGCCAGAGCCUUUCCCACUGCCCCUUUCCAGCCAUGGAUAUGCUCUUCAAAGAGCUCUAUUUACAUGCCAAGCUACAAAGCAACGUGGAAAAACUGCAGCUUUUAUGAUUCUACAGUGAGGUUUUUCACAACAUGAAGCAGCUUCUUAGACUACUUUUUCUUUUUUACUUUUUUUUUAUUUCCAAACAAGAUUUCACAGUUCAAAAAAAAAUCUCAGUCCACCCACAGGCUUUUGAGGAACAUUAACAGAGGGGCUUCAAAAGAAGAGAGCUCUGCGACCUUAAGCAUUGCAUUCUGAAUGAACAUCCAUGGAAAAACUGCGUGCAAGGCAGAGACAAGAGUCACCAAAAGCCACAUAUCCACCACAGUUUAAACUACUCUGCCAUGUUUAGCUCUGGCAUGGCUUGCCUUAUGCCAUCUCCUGUUGUACCCUUCCAACUGCUCACUGUCUUCUUAUUUACUUCUGAGCCUUUGUUUUGAAAUCAGCUGUGUCUGAAAUUCCUUCCAGGACAAGCCACAAGGCUGGGUUUGGUCACUUCCUCAGCAGCCUUGACACCAGUUACCCCUGGGGCUCCCCCAACACAGCUAUCUCUGGGUGGAAUCUUGCUCCAGUUCCACCAGAAAUCAAGUCCUGGAUUUCCAUCUCAUAUUCAGAGCUAGAGCUGGCUGAUACUUUGUGCAGAGGUGAAAAAUACUGCCAAUAGUUGAGGAGAAAUGAGUCUGGAUGAACAGCCCAUGCAAAGAAAACCCUUUAUAAAACCAGGACUAACCAAACUCGCCAGACUUAAGAUUCUCUUUGAACUACACAUCCAAAGCAGCACCAGACUGGCACCACCAGUGAUGAGGUUCUGAGGAACAGGGCACUGAAAACAUUAAACCCUCACUGUUAGUUCUCCUACCCUCUCUUCUCCACAUCUCUCCCUGCACUCUACAACAUGAAGCAAAGGAAAAUGGUUGGAAAGCUCCAGACAGAAGAAAAUUAUACAUGCCAAAAACUUCCAGAGACAAGUCUAACUUCCUGAAAACGACCAGGAAUUUGGUAGCAGCCACAGCCAGCUGCAGUGUGCUGACACAGAUUUCUCCUUCCUCUCCACAUGGCAGGAAACAACCAGAGCCCAGCCUGCACACCUGCCAUGGAAGAGGUGGGCUCGCUCAAUUCUUGGAAAGCACUUUUGCUCUUCAGAGAGAGAACAACAACCCUGAGCAAGCACAGGAGAUCAGCAAUGCAGCCUCUCCAGAGACCUGCCAGGCCUUGCUUCCCAUUCCACAGGUUUUGUGGGAAGGCCUCCCCUCCAAGCAGCCAGCACUGCUCCAUACUCCUUCCUUCCUUCCUCUCUGCCACCACGGCUGCUUCCUUUGCCUCUCAAAAAUGGUGACCAUGUCUUUAAAAAUCAAAGAAGACCAGACCAAGUUAGCAAACAGUCCUUUCUUCUCCAUUCUUUCUGAAGAUGUUAAAGUA